AGACAACCGCUUUGCAUCUUGGGCCAAUUUUGAAAAAAUAUUGUUGGGCCCAAUUUUAUUGGACACUUGACACUUGGCAACCCUAGGGUUGGGUGGACCCACCCUAAUUUUUGAGACAUAUGAUCCUAGGGAUCACAAAAGUGCAGCCGUCACAUAUUUAUCUAGCUCUCGGCUGGAACCUUUUUUUAAGGAGGGGGGGCAGCAGCAUUUUCUUUGCUUGAACCAUGUNUGCAGUGUUUGAUUAUGGAUGAAUGGAGAAGUUGCAAUUUAUUUACCUUACUUUCUUUACAUUUUCAAUUAGAAAGCUAGUGCACGGUGAUUGAAGUUUCAUUCCAGCUCCUUUUAAUUCUUUCAUGU
rnacentral:lncRNA from 1 species